UAUGUUUCCUUUCAAAGGGAUCUUGACGUGGUACCAGGACUGAGUCAUGAUUUGGGCAGAGGCAGUUAACACUGGGAAGCCCUGCCCCUCCCUAUGCCCCCUUCACUCCGGGGAACUGAAACCUACUCUGAGUCUCACAUCUCUAAACCUCAGUGCUGAGACCUAUGCAGUGGGACUAAUCUCAUCAAGAAUUUUCAGUUGAGGCCGGGCGCAGUGGCUCACGCCUGUAAUCCCAACACUUUGGGAGGCCGAGGUGGGCGGAUCACCUGAGGUCAGGAGUUGGAGACCAGCCUGGCCAACAUGGUGAAACCCCAUCUCUACUAAAAAUACAAAGAAAGUUAGCCAGGUCUGGUGGUGCGUGCCUGUAAUCCCACUUACUCGGGAGGCUGAGGCAGGAGAAUCACUUGAACCCAGGAGGCAGAGGUUACAGUGAGCCGAGAUCGCGCCACUGCACUCCACCCUGGGCAACAAGAGCGAAAACUGUCUCAAAAAAAAAAAAUUUUUCAUUUGAGGUAUUCUUCCAGUAGAAGGUUAGUAAGUUUUUAAUGAAACCAUUAAAAAUUACACUUCCCAGAAAAUAGAUGACAUCAGUGCCCCUUGCUACUUUCUCAGUCCUCACUAUUGCUUUGAGGGCCCAGGUACUGAAACUGGUUGUCUUGAGUUUUGUGUCAGCUUUUUCUCCAGUCCAUUAUCCCCCUCCCUUGCUUCUGAAGCAGUCUAGGUUAAACUAGCCAGGCAGGUAGUUGUGGACUGGUGAUUUUCAAAAGCCCCACUUUAGAGAUCAGGCCACAGCUUUUUAUAUCGCACAGGACACAUCAGCCUGAGCUGCUGCCUCAUGCCUGUUUCCCCAGGAACCUCACUCCUUUGGUAGAACCUUGGGAUUUUAGAAAUUGUGGCUUUUCCAUAACUCAUUUACUCCAACAGUUGAAGUUACACACAUUGCUCCCAAAUUUGGAAAUAGACCACAGUACCUUACCUUUCAUUCCCCAUCUGGCCUUUACCUUCUUUGCUUCAGUGGUUGAAAACAGUUGCCAUAUUCAAAGUAUAGUAGAUUUCAACCUCACACAAAUGACAAGUCCCAUUUUACAAUCCUAGGAAGGCCCACCAAUUUCAUUUCACGCGCCAGGGCGGCUGCAGUUGGAGGCCGAGGGCAGCCCUCUGCUCACUGAAUGUCUUGCAUGUGCUGACUGCUGCCCGCAGUGCUGAACAUGCCCCACCGCCCAGGCCCAGCACUGCUUGUUGGGUCAGCAUCUAGUGCUGCUGUCACAUCUUUGUCUGCACAGCCAGUAGGAUUGCCUCAGCCAGGGGGUUUAUCAGAAGGUGUGCAAGGCCUUUGGGGGAACUGAGCCCCUAUAGUGGGCAGUCUCCUUUACCUUCCCACCUCCCUGAAAAGCACAGAAGACAGUGCCUUGGUUUGUGUUUUGAAGCAAACAAGUCAGCUUUCUGGCUUUGCCCCAAAACUGUGAUGGAACAUAAUAAAACUGGAGAUAUGGUUUUUAACACUGCAAAAAGGAAAAAGCAUCAAGUUUCUACUUCUGGCUGGAAAGCAAAACCAAUCUCAGCUGACAAGGCUGGGCAAACUAAGUUUUCCUGAGCCCAUUUUCCUUUGAGCCCUGACCUAGCCUGGCCUUACCUCAUUAAGGUUUGGUUAAAGCAGUGGAAAGGAGGAGGAGGCAGGGGUGGAUGGGGGUGUGGGGAGGGGAUGAGCACUCUGCAGCCGAUUAAUCUGUUGGUAGGGGCCCAGCUUCUUGGGAGUGCUUAUUCAGCCCAAGAGUGGAGGCUGUUUACAGCGAGCCCUGGAGAUGGCAGCUUGUCUCCAGCUGGGGAGGGGUCAGGCCCCUAAAUUGAAGACCACUUUGGUAGCAGAACUGUAGGGACUGGUGAGUCAACUCACAGAUUCUGCAGCAGCUGCUCCACCCACAAUAAAGCAAACGCCGACAGGCUAGACCCCAGAUUGCAGGGGCUGCCACCUACAAGGUGGGACCACAGGCUGCCUCACCGGGAUUGUCUGCCACUAAAUAGCUGGAGUCACAGAUUGAGAUAAAUGCCACCUUCAAGGUUGCAGUGAAAAGCAUAAUCCUAUGUGAUGAAUUUAUAUGUGUUAUUUUUUAAAAAGCUAUUUUAUUACUGCAUGUUCCCGUCCCGUCUUGUGAAUGUGAGUCCCCGCCACCACGUGAGGUGCAGUCGUUGCAGCGGCUGGUGCAGGAGUGCAGCUGGCGCGUGUGUGAUAGCAUCUCGUAGGUGUUGCUGCACAAGAGUUAACCAGAGUCAAUGCCAAACACAUAGUAUGAGAAGUGUACUUUUUAAGAAAUUAAUUUAUUUGAGUUCAAAUAUUUUUGAAAUAUAAAAAUUGGUUGUAUUUUUUAAAGCUAUAAUUCUUGUAGACAUUCUGUGGUUAAAAAUUUGAUUGUGCUUAUUAAAAAUGGUCAUCUAUGUUUUGCACUUCAGCUACGUGAAAAUAAAAUUUCUUUGGGAAGGUG
rnacentral:lncRNA from 1 species